CGCGACCGCGGAGGUGCGCGCAUGCGCGUGCGCGACCUCGGGGGGGCGUGCGGCCCCUGAACAGCAGUGAGUGCAGUAACAGCGGGGAGGAAGGCGCACAUCGGGAUCCUGCAGCAUGAAACAAGAACCCCUUCGGAGCGCAGCAGACCACACUGAAAAGGGUGCAUACCCGGUGCGGUGCUCUGCAUCCCGGGUGGUGCCGAAGAUGUGGAGUGUCGGAGGUGGCAGAAGCGCCGCAGCUUGGGUCACACGGUAGAUUAUACUUUGCUGGAAGGAAGGAGCUGAAUUCCGCAUUCUGUCUGCUAAGUGCUGUGAUACAAUUCUUGACCGGUUUGAGACUGGCUUGGAGCCCAGCUGCAUAACAGAAAUAGCCAUUCUCAGAGUCUCAUCUGCCAAUUCCACUCGCCACUUCAUUUCACAGUCUCUGCUUCUUUUGUUGCUGGACAUGUCCUUAACCUGCCUCAGAUAGACUUUGUGUCUCAUCCUUUGUAGGACUGUCAGCUACAUUUAGCUGUGGUUUAAACCCUUUAAAAAUUAUGGGUGUUUUUUUCCCAAAAAUGUUUUAUUAAACCACAUCAAAUGGUAACGAAAGCAAUGUAUAUACAACAUGCAGCUCAGAGGGAGCAUAAGACAAAUGUACAUUGAAAGCAGAAUAAGAGUGUGUGAAUCAGGGUGACACAGUUGGUACAGUCUUUCCUAUACAACACAUAAGGAUAGUGAAGAUCAGGUGUCCAACUUGGAUACUGAGUGAGGGAAAGAAAUCAGGAACAAAUUAGGGAAGAAAGUGCAUGGGGGGCAGUGUGGGUACAGGCAACCUUACAGGCAAUGACCUUACAGAUCAGGAGAUCAAUGGAUGAUGACAUAAGAGGAGAAUGUACUUAGUGUAUUGGAAAAGACAUACUAUAGUUUUGUGCCCAAGGAUCCCAAAGCUUUAUGAAAUGAGACUGAGGAAUCCCUGAGAAUGCGCUGUCAUCCGUUCCAUAAAUAAUCCAGAUCUUAUUCAGGGGAGCAUCCACAGUGAGGGGAUUUGGGAACUCCAGGCUCCGGCAAGGAGACAGGUAGCAGCACUCAAUAUGGCAUACAGUAAAACUGUUUGUGAUGAAACCAGACGCAAUGGGCAAUAUCCAAUCAAUAUAUUAAGAAAUUAAAAGUAGGUCUACUGUCACCUUGUAGUAGCACUAAUUAAACAAUGCAGCCCCCAUAAAUGCCACUCUGGUAUGUGUUAUCCUAAAUAGAAGGCAAUGAUAAAGAUACACUGCAUAUCUACAGAUAGAGGGCGCUUAAGGUUAAGAAAUUAUGAACCUGGGUUCGAAUAUUCUAUAUGAUGAUAUCUAGAGUAUAAUUUGUAAUCUAAUGUAAAAUAAGUAAGCAGAUCAUCUAAUAUUGCCACUAGAGAAUAUUAUCGUGAUAUAUGUUUAAAUAAAAACGUGUCCCUUGGACACAUGGGUAUUCGAACCCGGGUCUCUAGCUCUACUGUGAUGCGCUCUUUGUGUGCUGUGUGAUGUGCUCUCUGUGUGCUGUGUUCUCUGUGUGCUGUGUGAUGUGAUCUCUGUGUGCUGUAUGAUGUGCUCUCUGUGUGCUGUAUGAUGUGCUCUCUGUGUGCUGUGUGAUGUGCUCUCUGUGUGCUGUGUGAUGUGCUCUCUGUGUGCUGUGUGAUGUGAUCUCUGUGUGCUGUGUGAUGUAAUCUCUGUGUGCUGUAUGAUGUGCUCUCUGUGUGCUGUGCUCUCUGUGUGCUGUGUGAUGUGCUCUCUGUGUGCUGUGUGAUGUGCUCUCUGUGUGCUGUGUGAUGUGCUCUCUGUGUGCUGUGUGCUGUGCUCUCUGUGUGCUGUGUGCUGUAUGAUGUGCUCUCUGUGUGCUGUGUGCUGUGCUCUCUGUGUGCUGUAUGAUGUGCUCUCUGUGUGCUGUGUGAUGUGCUCUCUGUGUGCUGUGUGAUGUGCUCUCUGUGUGCUGUGUGAUGUGAUCUCUGUGUGCUGUGUGAUGUGCUCUCUGUGUGCUGUGUGAUGUGAUCUCUGUGUGCUGUGCUCUCUGUGUGCUGUAUGAUGUGCUCUGUGAUGUGCUCUCUGUGUGCUGUGGGAUGUGCUCUCUGUGUGCUGUGAGAUGUGCUCUCUGUGUGAUGUGCUCUCUUUGUGCUGUGUGAUGUGCUCUCUCUGUGUGCUGUGCUUUGUGUGUGCUGUGCUCUCUGUGUGCUGUGUGAUGUGAUCUCUGUGUGCUGUGCUCUCUGUGUGCUGUGUUCUCUGUGUGCUGUGCUCUCUGUGUGCUGUGUGAUGUGAUCUGUGUGCUGUGCUCUCUGUGUGCUGUGUGAUGUGCUCUGUGUGUGCUGUGUGAUGUGAUCUCUGUGUGCUGUGUGAUGUGCUCCUUGUGUGCUGUGCUCUCUGUGUGCUGAGCCACAGAGCUAAGCCAUACGAAAGCGAAACAUGUCUCAAUAUAUCUUUUGAACGGUUUAUUUUUAUAAUUAUUUGUAUCCUCAUUUGAUGUCCCUCCUCGUUGCCUUAAUUAACUAAUUAUUAUACAUAUAUGCUUUGAACAUAAUUGAUGUAUAUAUAGCUGUCACCUUGUAUUUAUAAAUAUAUAUAUAUUUGUCUAUUUCUAUAUAAACUUGUUACUUGUUUUAAAUGAACUAUCCUUUGGAAUACACAGAUGCAUUCAACAGGUGUAGUGAUUACUUUAAUUAACCACACUACACCUGAUUGGUUAUUUGAAGUUUAAAAACCACUCUCCCUACACCAAAUUAUUUCUGAAGCAACCGCCAUCCCCUCAUGGCGGAGAAACGCGUUAAGCCACCCACUGGGGACCCUUUGCCACGGACUCUUUGCCCCCCACUCAUUUACAGCCUAACUGCUCUCUCACGAAGCAGCCGCACGUGAGGAAACGCCAACGGAGCAGUACACGGGCACACGGCAACUACUGGAGACACAUAUCAAAGAGACUCCCUACUUGGAGCAUUGUAAGGACGUCUGGUGGGUCUCGCCCUCCCUCUCCUACCGCUAUUUGCCAACUGGGAUUGCUUGCCACAACGCAUCCCUAAACAGACUGCAGGCUGGUAAAUCCAUCUACUCCUCAUCUGUAGUGAUGAGUUAACAAGAGGUAGCAGCACAGCGUAGAUCCACCUGUUCCCCACUUGAAUUGCUACAUCAAUAACUUUGCAACAUUGUUACUCCGGACAAAUCAAUAUUACAGCAACUCAUCUAGUGACGGGUCCGUGGACUCUUAUCCCCAAUUCCAUUUCUUCCCACUUUUUUAUGCAUCUUAUUGUAUUAUGUUGUAAAUGUCUUAUUUUUAUUUAUUAACGUGUGUAUAAUAUGUUUGAUGUUUUAAUAUAUUAAAUUCAUAAUUUCCUAACCUUAAGCGCCCUCUUGAUAAUGUUAUCUGUAGAUAUACAGUGUAUCUUUAUCAUUGCCUUCUAUACAGUAAUACUGUAUUAAGACGUCUAUGGAGUGUAUAGAAGGGGUCUUUGAAGUGAAGUGGGAUGGUGAUGCGGUCAUUGUGAUAAGAGUGUUGACAUCAGGCCAGAAUCUGUGCAGUACCAGGCAGUUCCACCAGAAAGCUGCCUGACAAUUGAUAGUUUCCCAAUAAAGGUACUUGGGAUAGAUUUUGUGCAAUGUGGUCAUGACUAGAUACCAGUGGUCUCCAACCUUCUUUGAACAGCUUUGUUUGUUCUCUUUAUUAUCUGGUACUCACAAAAGCAACUGAAUUAUAUCUAUUUGUGAGCAGAAAUGGCAAAAUUAUAUAGGUGAAGAGACGGACGCAGAGGACUGGUCAAUAUUUGACUAGGGGUCACCAAAUCCUCUAUAUGCAUUCAAGUUAAAGAGAAUGCAUGCAUCUCCUCCAUCUAAUCAUUAUUCAAACAUGAUCUUGAGUUCACCUCUCCAACUUGUCUGUGUGAGGUCCUUCUGCCCCCAGCUGCCUAUACUCAGUUACAAAUUCAUAGGUACUAGUCCUAGGAACUACAGGGAGUCCUUUCCAAGCACAGAUAACACGCUGACAAUCGGAGUGGUGUGAUGUUUGAUAAAUAUGUCAGUUGAAUGCGAAAACUAUAAUUGUGUUGGUAAAAUAAAUCUAUCGGUUAUUUAUAUCAGUUAUUUAUAUAGCAUAUUCAUUUUGCAGUGCACUUUACAGAGAACAUCUGACCCUUCACAUCAGUCCCUGCCCCAGUGGAGCUUCCAAUCUAUGGGCCUUAUUCAGCACUGAUCACAAUGCUAUGAAAACGUAGAGUGGACGAUUAUCAUCCGCAGCAUUGCGAACGCACGGUCAUGGGGUCAAAAAUGUGAAUGCAUCCCAGGAGGGGUGGGGUGAAGCCCCUGUUCUGAUGCUCUGGUUUAAUGGGCCUUGAACCCACAACCUCAGUGCUGUAAGGCCGUAAAGUUUUAUUUCACCAUCCGUGCUGCCGAGACUGGCCAGAAAUUGUGGAGUGAAAGCUAUGCGUCUCUGCAUAAUAUGCAAUGUAUUAUUAAGCAGUUGUUU